rnacentral:lncRNA from 1 species
GAGAGAGGAGGAGGGGCACAAAGUGUGGGAGCCUGAUUAUGUGAAACAGUGUUUCAGAUGUGUGUCUCUGGGAGAUAAUGACUGAGAAGACACUGACCCACAUGAUUGGCAACAUAACACUGAAAUUAAUAUUUCCAAGCAUUCUUCAUAUAGUCUUUCGGUCUCACAACAAAUAUGAGAGUGGUUUCUAUUACUCUUCUCAUUUUACAAAUGUGGAAAUUGAGCUUUCAAGAUAUAACCUGUCCAAAGUCCCACACCUGAUGAUUGGAAGAGCCCCGGCCUGAAGGUCCUUGACGAAUAAGGUCACAUUGGGUAAAUCCUGCUUUUGUUCCUUUAGCAUUUAGCUGUGCUGCAGUUCCUUCUCUGCCCCUCACCUUUUGCAGCCUUUUCCCCUUCUUGUUAAGGACAUUGUGCUAAUGUUGAAAUGUCAUUAUGGGCCUUGAGUUAAUAAAGGGCAUCUUUUCUAGUGUCCAAAACAACAUAUUUCCUGGGUCUUUGAAGGAAGUAAUGAUGACUGGAACCAAAGUCCCAGAAUUUUCCACAAGCCACUACAGAUGUCUGGGAGAGCUGGUUAUUUCCAGUUGAACUUCCUCUUCACAGGCUUGUGAGAGUAUCCCCCAAACAUGUCUUGCCUGCCGUCUAUUUUUGCACCUUUCAUCAGAGAAACUGGAAAGCCUUAUCCAUAGAAUUAUCCACAUCUNGCUUGUGAGAGUAUCCCCCAAACAUGUCUUGCCUGCCGUCUAUUUUUGCACCUUUCAUCAGAGAAACUGGAAAGCCUUAUCCAUAGAAUGUUAUCCACAUCUCAGACACAAGGGGCUUGAGUUUGGGCCUAACUCCAUGAUUUGUUCUGGGCCAACGAAAGUUUUUUAUCCAGGUGUUUGCUUUGACUGCCUUCCAAGGUGGCAUGCAGCAAACCCAAUGUGGGCCACUGGGAAAGGCCUCCAGGAAAGGCAUCUGGUAGCACCUUCUUUUUUUCAGUCACGUGUUUUUCUGCUGUUACCUGCUAGGAGAGCGACAAAAGAGAGACGACUCAGGCAGGCAAGUGUUGUGGAGGCUAGAGCCUGUGUAUGUCGCAAAAAGAGUCACAGAUCCUUCUCGUCUAUAUAUGCGUGCCCCUGUCCAACGUGGCCUCGUAUGUCCUCCCAUUCAGAGGCAGCCUUUAUUUCUUCAUCUCUUCCAUCUGGGCUGGCCUUGUGUCCCAGGAUCUCGCCCCAAGCAGAGGCCCGAAAGCCCGUGUUCUGGGACUCGCCGUCUGGCUGCACAUUGAACCCUGAGAGCACUGUGUGA